AAACUUUCAACAACGGAUCUCUUGGUUCUCGCAUCGAUGAAGAACGCAGCGAAAUGCGAUAAGUAGUGUGAAUUGCAGAAUUCAGUGAAUCAUCGAAUCUUUGAACGCACAUUGCGCCCUCUGGCAUUCCGGAGGGCAUGCCUGUCCGAGCGUCAUU
rnacentral:rRNA from 1 species